AUUUUGAUAGAACUUGAUUUUCGCACCGAGGCUAUGCUAUACUUGAUUUUGGCCACCCUGUUGUUUGCAUGGAAGCUGAUUACAGAGAGAGGGACAAAGGACGACAAUGGACAGUGAGCUCUCAUAUGCUCAUUUUGAAUGUUCUUUGAUGGAUCUGAUUCUUGUGGAAGUCAAAGAAGACAAGCUUCCCGAUGAAGAUGUGAUCAUCUCUGAAUUGCAAGUAAUGCAAGCUGACAAUGAAGACGAAAGUAUUUCACUGCUUAAAGAAAAAGAGGAUAAAUGGCAUGAUCUCGCGACUAGCAUUGCUAAAAUAAGAUAAGCUAACAUUAGCUGCGCGCUUUGGUUAAAGCCACGAAUAAGAAAGACUUCUAGAAAACGAAACAAACCAAAAUGGACUUGCAGAAAUUGAAAAAAGGAAGAAAAGACAGAGUUUAGAAACAUUGUGUAAUUACUUUCUACACUUCUUUUGUAUCUUGAAAUUAUUGUGAUAAUAGUAGUUUUUUUAAAUAAUUGCCUUAACAAAACUUAGAAACUCCCAAUGUAUCACCGAGCAUAAAUUGAGAAUAUUACAAAAGGAGCACGGUUUUCA